GAAAAAUUUUGUUUUCCCAGGAGGUUUAAAUCUACUAAAGAAAUCUGUAUAUUUUGAUUGUUGAUGAUAAUGAAAAUGUUAACUAAGAGUGUUUAGCAUAGACUCUGAUAGUCCAACCCCCUUAGGGCAAUUGACAAAAGCCAUGAUUCUGCUAGAAACCAAUCACUCAGUAGUAAUGUCAACACUUAGGUUUAACAGUAACUUUUCUCACCCAACCAAAAGAGAGGGUAAGGUGUAUUUUCCACAAACCUUGCUAUAGCUGCCUUUUUAACUGGUUCUUUUCUUACAUCUGUCUUUCUUAAAAUUUAUGAUUUUCGUGGUUUCCUUCAGUCUCUCUCCCCCCAAAUUUAUAUAUUGAAACCCUAACCCCCAAGGUGACAAAUUAGGAGAUGGGGCCUUGAGAGUGAUCAGGUUUAGGUGAGGUCAUAAGGGUGGGAUUAGAAGACACACAGGAAAGCUGGCUUUCCCACUCUAGCAUAUGAAGACAUAGGGGGAAGAUGGUCACCUGCAGGUCAGAAAUAGAGCUUCACUGGAAGCCAACCGUGUUGGCACCUUGAUCUUGGACUUCUCAUCUCUAGAAAUGUGAGGAGAAAUGUUUUUGUUGUUUAAGCCCCUCAGUCUAUGGCAUUGUAUUAUGGCAGUCCAAGUAGGCUAGGACAGUUUCCUUGCUCUUCUGGAACGAGUUCCUGGGACUAGAAGAAACUGAAAGUGAAACAUCACCAGUGCUUAAUCAAGAUAUUAAAAUGGAAGCAGCAUUCAGUUCCCUCCACUUGAUGAAGAAUCUGAUGAAUACCAUUGUACUGAAAUAUUCAUCUGACUUUUGCCUUUUCCACGAAGUCAGGCACAACUUUCAAACAAAGUAUGUUUUGAAAGUGACUACGGUCUUAUCUUCACAGGCAGCUCUCAAUUCCCAGUCUUGCUGUUGGAACAUAUUGGAGUAACAUUUAAAAAUAUAAACAUUGUAUUUUUCUCCUUCAGUGAAGAGAGCUGAUUCAUGAUGAGUUCCUCUGUCCUUCUCCUCACCAUAUGUCCUCUCCUUGGUGUUGGUUUCCUGUUGACAUUAAAAGGAGCAACAUGUAUUAAGGAGUUAGGAUGAAAGCUUUAGAGUUAACGAUGAAUUUUUUUGAAAGCAUGGGUCAGAUUUUCUCACACAGCCAUUUAAAAUCCCUUGGGAACCAUCACAUUCAUAUUUUGUAGACGGUUAUUGUGUUGGAAGCAUCAAUAUUCCCUUUUCCUCAAAAGGCUAAGAAAAGAAUCGUAAAUAGAUUUAUUUCUGCAGUGUAAUGAGAGGAGGGGGAUCCUGUGAGAAGCUGAUAAGAGUCUUAUGAUUCAAUAACACACAGCCUAUCAAAUCCAGCUAGGAUGUCAAGAGGCUCUAAGCAUUUUCUAAUUCCUGAUGGAAUGUUUCCCUUGCAGUGCUCCUUCCUUGUUCUCCAUUUGACAGCGUUUAUGCACGCCCAUGCGGGAUGAUUUGGCACAUCUGUGCUUUGGUUUCAUGUUCAUUUUUGUUAGAUUAUUCAGCCUGCAUUUAUCAGAGAUCUACAGGAAUUGUUUCAGAGUGGUACUAAUGGAUCCAUGGAUGGGAUACCAUCACCGUGUGUUUCUGCCACCCCUGUGCUUUGUCAUGAGGAAAUACUCAGAUUUCAAAGUUCAUUUCUUGGCUCAUUUUUUAUCUUCCUUAUUCCACUUCUUACCUUGUAAUACAUUUUGAAUUGUCAUUUCUAAUAAGAGGGUCUAAAUUUAUGUAUCAGUAUGUCUGUAUCACACAAAGAUCUCACAAAUGGGAUGCUUUUUUCCAUUGGGAAUUACAGAUAACCAAGUGUAAGAAACUUCAAAAAACUUUCUAGUUUCUCCACCUUUCAGUCAGAACAUCAGCAUGAGAUCAGAGGUUAGUCUAGGUGUGUGUUAACAUGGUUUGGAUAUUUAGCAUAGCAUUUCGUCUUUGCCUAUUUUGGGGAAAAAUACGUGUUAAAGGGAAAAUUAGCAGAGGAACUUCUUAUCAGUGAUGUGUUUUUACUCUGCUACAUACAUGAGAAUAUUAGUUUUUUAUUGAAGUAUAAUUGAUUUACAAUGUUGUGUUACUUUAUUGUAUACAGCAAAAUGAUUGUUAUACAUAUAUAUGUGUGUAUAUAUAUACAUAUAUUCUAUUUAAUAUUCUUUUUCAUUAUAGAUUAUUACAGAAUAUUAAAUACAGUUCCCUGUGCUGUACAAUAGGACCUUGCUUAUCGAUUUUACAUAUAGUAGUUUCUAUUGCUAAUCCAAAACUUCUAAUUUAUCCCUCCCCCCUUUCCCCUUUCAUAACUGUAAGUUUGUUUUCUGUGUCUAUGUUUUGUUUCAUAAAUUCAUUUGUAUCAUAUGUUAGAUUCCAGAUGUAAGUGAUAUCAUGAUAUUUGCCUUUCUAUGUCUGACUUCACUUAGUAUGAUAAUCUUUAGGUCCAUCCAUGUUGCUUGAAAUGGCAUCAUUUCUUUCUUUUUCAUGGCUGAGUAAUACUCUGCUGAGCAUGAGAGUGUGUGUGUGUGUGUGUAUCACAUUCUUCAUCCAUUCAUUUGUCAAUGGAAAUUUAGAUCACUUCUAUAUCUUGGCUAUUGUAAAUAGUCUGCUAUGGACAUUGGGGUGCAUGUAUCUUUUUGAAUUAGAGUUUUCUCUGGGUAUAUGCCCAGGAGUGGGAUUGCUGAGUCAUACAGAAGAUCUAUUUUUAGUUUUUUAAGGAACUUUCAUACAUUUUCCAUAGUGGCUCUACCCAUAUACAGUCUCACCCACAGUGUAGGAGGGUUCCCUUUUUGAGAAUAUUAGUUUUAACAGUGGGAAGUUCCCAAUGUUUGAGCAUUUCAAUCUACGAAAACACUUCACAAUUUCAAAUAGUUUGAUACAAUGUAUGAUACCAUUUUAAAUGUAAUUGUUGUGUAUGCUCUCAUCAGGCUAUUUGAAUUUUGAUAUAUACCUUUUCUAUAUACAACACUCAUCUUCAAUGUUUUGGUUGCUGAAAGUCUCCAAUUAUAGGAGAAUGCAUAAUUAAAGGUUCUGCAGACUAUAUGAUAGAAAUUUAGAAAGGAAGACUGCUGUUGACAUGAGUCAAUGAAAGCUCUAUUUAGUGAAUAACUCAAAGAAUAAUGUAAAUAUUGAUGAGAUUUUUGCAUCUUACAUUAGAAAUCAUCGGUCCUACCUAUUGAUUUUUGAGUAUUGUUCUUGUUGCUAAAGGAAUGUUGAAGAUUCCUCUAUUUUAUUUAGUUUCUUCUCUGUAGAGGUGUAAAAGCAUUUGUUUCAAUGCAAAUAGUAUGCAUAAAAAUCACUAUUUUUCUGUGUUUAGUUCUUUAUGCCUUCAUUCUUAUUGUGUUUCAGGCACUACUCCGUCUAAGCACUUAGGGUCCUUGGCACAAGUAGAUCACACAGGGUCCCUACUCCCAGGAGACUUACAUUCUAAUGUAAACAGCCAAAUGUAUGCAUCAGAUGGUUUCAGUGUCACGAAAGGUGGUGACAUGAAGUGGGUAGAAGAGGCUUUUUCAGAUGGACCAGCCUGGGCAGGCCUCUCUACGGAGGAGACAGUGACCUGCAUGAGACAAAGCUCGACUGCUGCAGAAGUGACUUUACCUCUAAGGGAUCUGAGCCAGGCACAAGACGGGAUGUGGGGGAAACAGAAGGAAAGCCAGUGUCUGUGAAACAAAAGAGUGAGAAAUGAGGUUGGAGUAGGAAGUUGCAAUGAAGUAGGUAUACAGAAUAGUCAAAAUCUUUCUGACUUUGUUGUUGUUGUUCAUUUGGAUCUGGUAACUCCAGCAAUUCUACUUCAAAUUAUCUGGAGGGCUAUAAAUAAUGUUUAUAUAAUCUACCCCCAUGGUGUUCUUUUCCUUUCCCCUAAAUUUCUUUAUGCUUUCUAAGAUACUGUUGUCUGAGAAUAACAAUAGACUCAACUAUUGCUCAGCCAUCUAGUCACCUCAUGUUCCUUUUGUGUCUCCCCACCCCCUAGCCCAGGCCCCCAUCAUAGGAGUGACUCGCAAUUUGCAUAUAAGACAACCAAAUUUAAAAGUACAUCUGACGUAUAUUCACCUGUAGACUCAACAGAACAUAUUGAAAUUGGAGGGAUCUUUAUUUUGUUAAAUUUCUCCAAAACCAACUUAAUUGGGAUAGAGGGAGGAUAUCUAAAAACCAGGAAAAAAGACUUGGGGCAAUAUACACAUCCAUAGCAAGCACAGCACGGGGCUCAUUCUCUACAUUUUUUGCAAUACUCUUGAAUAGGUGCCAAAGUGAAGAACCUAGAAAGUACCUGUCUUACAAUUCAUUAUUUUAGUGUGACUAGAUCCAGAAUUUGAUAAAUACAGUAUUUACUGUGUUUAUACAGAUUUGUCCUUUGGAAUUUAAAUUGUAUUUCAAGGUAGAAAAAGAGAGCACUUUUCUGAUAAUAAAUGGUUAAUGGUAGAAUUCUUGCUGACCCAUGAGUCUGUAUUUGCUUCUCCCUGGCUGCAGUUUCACAGAGGACUUCUCUCUUAAGCCUUCAGUACUGUGAUUGGCGUUUAAUAUACAUAGUCAGCAUUCAUUUAUGAAUAAACAAAUAAAAUAGGGAAGAUAGACCUAUUAUGUAUAAACCUGAUACAGAAUAAAUGUUUAGUUAUCAUGCUAGAUGUUAAAAUUAUUUUCAUGAGUAAGGCAAGUUGUAAGCUUGAUAUUUAUUUAUAUCGCUAACGAAUAAUGAUUAUGAGUUCAUUUAAAGAUUUGAGUUUUAACUAUGGCUUUCUAUUACAUGUCUUUUCUGAAAGGAAUGUAAUCUUGGCUCAUGGGUUGUUUUGUUUUACCUCUCGUGUGGUUAAAGGAUCUGUCUCUUUAUUGGCGAUAUCUGUCUUUCUCUUUAUGGGUUAACUUUAUCAGACAAAGGUAAUAUUUUUGCAUUGCUUCAUGGAAUUGAUAAAUUAAAUAAAUAAAUGAAGCGAUUUGCUUAUUGUCAGGUUACCAUAGCUCACAUAGAAGUAAGAUGCCGGGGACUAAUGUUUUUAUUAGCACUUUUUCCAUUGACUACUGACAUUUUCCAGAAAUGUUAAAUUGAAUCAAGUAAGUACAAACUAGCCGUAAAACAUUUUUAUCUGCUUAUCAAUUUCAGGGCACCUUAACUUCAUGAAAAUGACAAAGGCUCAUUGUUCUCUGACAGUUCUUGUUUUGAAUUAGAUUACUUCUCCAUUAUGAUAUCUAUGGAAUUCCAGAAUAAAAGUCUAAUAGAGAAAAAUAUUGAAAAAUAAUGACAAAGUAAGUCAUGAAGUUAAAAAGAUUCAAAAGGCCCAUGAAAUUUGUCAUAGCUUUAAAAAUACCAACCACACACACUAUAGCCAUCUUCUGUAAUAAAAAUUUCAGGAGUUCCCGUUGUGGCGCAUGGUUAACGAAUCCGACUAGGAACCAUGAGGUUGUGGGUUCGGUCCCUGCACUUGCUCAGUAGGUUGACAACCCAGCGUUGCCGUGGGCUGUGGUGUAGGUUGCAGGAGCGGCCCAAGAAAUAGCAAAAAGACCAAAAAAAAAAAAAA
rnacentral:lncRNA from 1 species